rnacentral:rRNA from 1 species
AUACGUAGGGAGCGAGCGUUGUCCGGAAUUACUGGGUGUAAAGGGAGCGUAGGCGGGGGUGCAAGUCAGAUGUGAAAUACAUGGGCUCAACCCAUGGGCUGCAUUUGAAACUGCAUUUCUUGAGUGAAGAAGAGGUAAGCGGAAUUCCUGGUGUAGCGGUGAAAUGCGUAGAUAUCAGGAGGAACACCGGUGGCGAAGGCGGCUUACUGGGCUUUUACUGACGCUGAGGCUCGAAAGCGUGGGGAGCAAACAGGAUUAGAUACCCUGGUAGUCCACGCUGUAAACGAUGAUUACUAGGUGUGGGGGGACUGACCCCUUCCGUGCCGCAGUUAACACAAUAAGUAAUCCACCUGGGGAGUACGGCCGCAAGGUUGAAACUCAAAUGAAUUGACGGGG